AUCUGGUGCGGCGGAGACGAGUGAAAUGCCUGUGAAAGGCAGAGCAGACGCAGUGAAAAGAAAUGUCUCCGGAUGUCGUCAACGCAACAACGACGACGAAGGCACGGAAAAAUUGUGAAAGCCGCAGAUGUCAGGAGCACGGAAACCGAACGAACCCACAGUUACUAGCCACACAUACUAGCUGAAGUUCAUGAACACGUGUAGUUGGGUGUCUUGGAAGCGCAAUAAGUCAGCAACAGCCCAGGGAAACUUUAACUCGAGGCAGGGCGAUAAUUGGAAGUCGCAAGUCAAAUUACUGAUUUAAAAUUACCGACAUAAGCGUGUUGGCCCUAGGCUGGCAUUCAGAUACUGGUUUUCGUUUACUUAAUUUGAUUUUAAGCAAAUGGCCAGCGGCUCUGGCACAGCUCUGGAUUGGCCCAGUAACCCUUUUGAGAUGGGAACUACUUCCAAGUUUGCCACAUGCCGUCUCAAAUCUCCUUCCAUCUAAAUGGCCCAACUUCCAAGUCAAGUGGAGUUCGGGGCAAAUUUAUCUUUCGUAAAUUCUGCUCGUAAACUGCUAUGAAAAUUCUGCUGCACAGCCCAGAGCCAGACAGCCAGAGAGACGGAUCUGUGUGCCCCGGUUCUUUGGCCUGGUUAUAGACAGGCAACAAGCAAAAUAUUUCAUGACCCCUUCGGGGGGGUCUUUGGCAUAAUUUCUAGGACAUUACACCGCCUGGCUGGUGGGGCCCUGACUGCCGUCACGAGUCAAAAAGUUGGGAACAAUCAACAUUAACAUUCAUGCGUGCAUCAAGCCGGAAGUGCCUAUAAGAUCUAACCGCAAUGUUCUCUCCAUGUCCCCAUGUCGUAUAAGUAAUGCUCUGUGAACCCAUAGCUCCCUAGACCUCUUCCAACCACAUCAUUGUAUUGUGAGGACGGCCCUCGGGUUCAGGCAUGCCAGAGCUUGACAGCACAGGGAAGUCAUCGGGGAAUACUACUCAAGAGCCAAAGCCAAAAUAUAUAUAUUCCAGACGAGACUUACCAGAGAUGUUCGCAUAUUGUUCGCUUGAAGGCCUAUCGAAAUUUCUCAAAAGUAUUCAGAAUGUA